AACGUAGGUACCGAGCGUUAUCCGGAUUUACUGGGCGUAAAGCGCGUUCAGGCGGUUUGGCAAGUCGGGCAUGAAAUCUCUCGGCUCAACCGGGAGAGGUUGUCCGAUGCUGCUGGACUUGAGGGCAGUAGAGGGUGGUGGAAUUCCGGGUGUAGUGGUGAAAUGCGUAGAUAUCCGGAGGAACACCAGUGGCGAAAGCGGCCACCUGGACUGCACCUGACGCUGACACGCGAAAGCUAGGGGAGCGAACGGG
rnacentral:rRNA from 1 species